rnacentral:tRNA from 2 species
GGGUGUAGUUCAGCUGGUAGAGCGUCGGUCUCCAAAACCGAAUGUCGCGGGUUCGAAUCCUGCCGCCC